AGCUUGCUGGUAUGAUUAGUGGCGAACGGGUGAGUAAUGCUUAGGAAUCUGCCUAUUAGUGGGGGACAACAUUCCGAAAGGAAUGCUAAUACCGCAUACGUCCUAUGGGAGAAAGCAGGGGAUCGCAAGACCUUGCGCUAAUAGAUGAGCCUAAGUCGGAUUAGCUAGUUGGUGGGGUAAAGGCCUACCAAGGCGACGAUCUGUAGCUGGUCUGAGAGGAUGAUCAGCCACACUGGGACUGAGACACGGCCCAGACUCCUACGGGAGGCAGCAGUGGGGAAUAUUGGACAAUGGGCGAAAGCCUGAUCCAGCCAUGCCGCGUGUGUGAAGAAGGCCUUUUGGUUGUAAAGCACUUUAAGUGGGGAGGAAAAGCUAAUAAUUAAUACCUAUUAGCCCUGACGUUACCCACAGAAUAAGCACCGGCUAACUCUGUGCCAGCAGCCGCGGUAAUACAGAGGGUGCAAGCGUUAAUCGGAAUUACUGGGCGUAAAGCGAGCGUAGGUGGUCAUUUAAGUCAGAUGUGAAAUCCCCGGGCUUAACCUGGGAACUGCAUCUGAUACUGGGUGACUAGAGUAGGUGAGAGGGAAGUAGAAUUCCAGGUGUAGCGGUGAAAUGCGUAGAGAUCUGGAGGAAUACCGAUGGCGAAGGCAGCUUCCUGGCAUCAUACUGACACUGAGGUUCGAAAGCGUGGGUAGCAAACAGGAUUAGAUACCCUGGUAGUCCACGCCGUAAACGAUGUCUACCAGUCGUUGGGUCUCUUGAAGACUUAGUGACGCAGUUAACGCGAUAAGUAGACCGCCUGGGGAGUACGGCCGCAAGGUUAAAACUCAAAUGAAUUGACGGGGGCCCGCACAAGCGGUGGAGCAUGUGGUUUAAUUCGAUGCAACGCGAAGAACCUUACCUGGUCUUGACAUACACAGAAUCUU
rnacentral:rRNA from 1 species